rnacentral:rRNA from 1 species
AGAGUUGAUUCUGGCUCAGGAUUAACGCUGGCGGCAUGCCUAAUACAUGCAAGUCGAAUGAGAAGCUUGCUUCUCAUGGCGAACGGGUGAGUAACACGUAGGUAACCUGCCUUACACUCGAGGAUAACCGUUGGAAACGACGGAUAAUACUGGAUAGGACAAAGAUUCGCAUGAAUCGUUGUUUAAAAGCAAUGGUGUAUGAGGGGCCUGCGGUGCAUUAGCUAGUUGGUGAGGUAACGGCUCACCAAGGCGAUGAUGCAUAGCUGGACUGAGAGGUUGAACAGCCACAAUGGGACUGAGAACGGCCCAUACUCCUACGGGAGGCAGCAGUAGGGAAUUUUCGGCAAUGGGGGAAACCCUGAACCCGAGCAAUGCCGCGUGAACGAUGAAGUAUUUCGGUAUGUAAAGUUCUUUUAUUAGGAAAGAUAGUGACGGUACCUAAUGAAUAAGCUCCGGCUAACUACGUGCCAGCCGCUGC